rnacentral:rRNA from 1 species
GUGGGGAAUUUUGCACAAUGGGCGAAAGCCUGAUGCAGCGACGCCGCGUGGAGGAUGAAGGCCUUCGGGUUGUAAACUCCUUUUGCAGGGGAAGAUAAUGACGGUACCCUGCGAAUAAGCCACGGCUAACUCUGUGCCAGCAGCCGCGGUAAGACAGAGGUGGCAAGCGUUGUUCGGAAUUAUUGGGCUUAAAGGGCGCGUAGGCGGUGGUGUAAGUCUGAGGUGGAAUCCUGCAGCUUAACUGUGGGACUGCCUUGGAAACUGCAUCACUUGAGUCGAGCAGGGGAAGGCGGAAUUCCUGGUGUAGCGGUGAAAUGCGUAGAUAUCAGGAGGAAGGCCUGUGGUGAAGACGGCCUUCUGGGCUUUGACUGACGCUGAGGCGCGAAAGCGUGGGUAGCAAACAGGAUUAGAUACCCUAGUAGUCC